rnacentral:rRNA from 1 species
AGUUAUAUGCUUGUCUCAAAGAUUAAGCCAUGCAUGUCUAAGUACAAACAUAAAUAAAGUGAAACCGCAAAAGGCUCAUUAUAUCAGUUAUGGUUCCUUAGAUCGUAUUCAUAGUUACUUGGAUAACUGUGGUAAUUCUAGAGCUAAUACAUGCAAUUAAGAAGUGACCAGUAAAAUGGACUCUUCGCUUUUAUUAGAUUUAAACCAAUGGGAGGUGUGUACGCAAGUGCACAUUUUCAACAAACAUGGUUGAACUCUGGAUAACUUGUUGAUCGUAUGGUCUUGUACCGACGACGGAUCUUUCAAAUGUCUGCCCUAUCAACUAUUGAAGGUAGUGUCUUGGACUACCUUGGUUGCAACGGGUAACGGGGAAUCAGGGUUCGAUUCCGGAGAGGGAGCCUGAGAAACGGCUACCACAUCUAAGGAAGGCAGCAGGCGCGUAAAUUACCCACUCCCGGCACGGGGAGGUAGUGACGAAAAAUAACAAUACAAGACUCACAUCCGAGGCCUUGUAAUUGGAAUGAGUACACUUUAAAUCCUUUAACAAGGAUCAAUUGGAGGGCAAGUCUGGUGCCAGCAGCCGCGGUAAUUCCAGCUCCAAUAGCGUAUAUUAAAGUUGUUGCGGUUAAAACGUUCGUAGUUGAAUUUGUGUUCCGCACGGGCAGUACUUUUGAUCGGGCAACCGUGAUGGUACUAUGUCUUAUCUUCUUAUACACCAUUUUUAAUGGUUAUAUGAAAAGUGCGCGAACGUAUUAUCGGCGCUUGUUAUAUGUGCGCAUGCGGUUUCGAUCAUAUGUUAGCACAUAUACUUGCAUAAGCCCAUUUCUGUGCUCUUAACCGAGUGUUGUUGUGGGCCGAUACAAAUUACUUUGAACAAAUUAGAGUGCUUAAAGCAGGCUUGUAAUGCCUGAAUAUUUUGUGCAUGGAAUAAUGGAAUAGGACAUCUGUUCUACUUUCAUUGGUUUUUUAGACCAAGAUGUAAUGAUUAAUGGAAGCCGUUGGGGGCAUUAGUAUUACAACGCGAGAGGUGAAAUUCUUAGACCGUUGUAAGACUGACUAAAGCGAAAGCAUUUGCCAAAGAUGUUUUCAUUUAAUCAAGAACGAAAGUUAGAGGUUCGAAGGCGAUC